rnacentral:lncRNA from 1 species
UGGAAUGUCUCCAACCCUAGUAUCUUCUGUUCCCACAGCAGCUGUGCCCCCCCUGGCUAACGGGGCUCCCCCUGUUAUACAACCUCUGCCUGCAUUUGCUCAUCCUGCAGCCACAUUGCCAAAGAGUUCUUCCUUUAGUAGAUCUGGUCCAGGGUCACAACUAAACACUAAAUUACAAAAGGCACAGUCAUUUGAUGUGGCCAGUGUCCCACCAGUGGCAGAGUGGGCUGUUCCUCAGUCAUCAAGACUGAAAUACAGGCAAUUAUUCAAUAGUCAUGACAAAACUAUGAGUGGACACUUAACAGGUCCCCAAGCAAGAACUAUUCUUAUGCAGUCAAGUUUACCACAGGCUCAGCUGGCUUCAAUAUGGAAUCUUUCUGACAUUGAUCAAGAUGGAAAACUUACAGCAGAGGAAUUUAUCCUGGCAAUGCACCUCAUUGAUGUAGCUAUGUCUGGCCAACCACUGCCACCUGUCCUGCCUCCAGAAUACAUUCCACCUUCUUUUAGAAGAGUUCGAUCUGGCAGUGGUAUAUCUGUCAUAAGCUCAACAUCUGUAGAUCAGAGGCUACCAGAGGAACCAGUUUUAGAAGAUGAACAACAACAAUUAG